GACGAACGCUGGCGGCGUGCCUAAUACAUGCAAGUCGAGCGGACUUGAUGGAGUGCUUGCACUCCUGAUAGUUAGCGGCGGACGGGUGAGUAACACGUAGGUAACCUGCCCGACAGACCGGGAUAACAUUCGGAAACGAAUGCUAAUACCGGAUACGCGAUUUGGUCGCAUGGCCGAAUCGGGAAAGACGGAGCAAUCUGUCACUGUCGGAUGGACCUGCGGCGCAUUAGCUAGUUGGUGGGGUAACGGCUCACCAAGGCGACGAUGCGUAGCCGACCUGAGAGGGUGAUCGGCCACACUGGGACUGAGACACGGCCCAGACUCCUACGGGAGGCAGCAGUAGGGAAUCUUCCGCAAUGGGCGAAAGCCUGACGGAGCAACGCCGCGUGAGUGAUGAAGGUUUUCGGAUCGUAAAGCUCUG
rnacentral:rRNA from 1 species